UUUGAACAACAAAACACCAAUUUUCUAUGAACUGAGAGAAACACCAUCUGAACUCUUAUCCCCUAAACAGGUAGGCCAAGAAAAUCAACAAUGGUGAGGGUCCGACAUGUUUGUGUGUUGAGCCAGAGCAAACUUCACUUUAUUCAACUAACUCCAUUAAACUGAAACUACGUUUCUAAAUAGUAUAAUUUACCCAUCUUAGGCCUUUAAAACCAAUAUCACCCUU